CCCCCCCCUCUCUCUCUCUCGCGAACCCCACCCAACCCGUCGUGCCCUCCUCUCUCUCUCUCUCUCUCUCUCUCUCUCGAACCAAACCCUAGCGCUCCACCACUCCCUUGUUGCCGCCACCUCCGGCGACCUCAGGCGGGAAUCGAUGACCAGCGAGAUCCGGCGUGCGCGCGGCGAGAUCCAGCACGCGCGGCGACGACAUGGCAUGGAUCCCCACGACUCCUCUCUAGAUCGAUCCCCUCCAACCCACCUCUUCCCCCCUCUCUAGAUCGAUCCCCUCCAACCCACCUCUUCCCCCUCUCUAGAUCGAUCCCCUCCAACCCAGCCGCCGCCGCCGCAGACCUCCCCCAACCCCGGCCUCCUCCACUGUCGGCGACCCCUUCUCUUCCUUCCUCCCUCCACCUCCAGCAGCAGAUCCAUGCAGGACAGAUCUGAGCUCCACUGCCUCCGUUGCUCUGUUUCCCCCGACCAAAUCUGCCUCUUGCAUUCUGGCACCUCGCCGGCGUGGCUCCAGCAUUGCUCCGGCAACUCAGAUCCAACACGCCGUCGUUGCUUGAGCAUCGGGACGCCAUCAACGGGACGUCUUCCUCCUCCCCUGUCCCGAAGGCAUGAACGAUGCAGCUUCACUGCUACCCUGACGCCAUCAAGGACGGAGAUGAUGGCGGCGGUUCGAUGCGCAGCGAGGAGGCUCGGUGACUCCCUGCUCCAGCGAGCGCAGGUAGAGGAGCGACGCCGGCUCGUGCCAAGGAGGCUCAUGCACUCCCACCACCUCUCCACCGAGGAAGCAAAAGAGACCCAGCAGAAGAAGGAGGCGCUGUAUCUCCAGAACAGAGUUCUUUGAGAAAUCAGGCCUACUUUUGUUCUAUUAAUCUACUCCUAACAUAUUGGUUGUUUCUUCAAGAACAGAGGGAAACAUGAAAUAUUAUUAGUUGUAUCAGAAUAACAUGUGAAUUGUUAUUAGUUGUAUCAAAAUAGCAUGUGAACUAUUCUUAGUUGCUUCAGAAUAGCAUGUGAAGUAUUCUUAGUUGUUCCAGAAUAGCAUGUGAAGUAUUCUUAGUUGUUCCAGAAUAGCAUGUGAAGUACAUCUCCCUUUGUAGCUUGGCCUAGGGUCAGCUAAAUGCUCAAGACAUGGGUAGUUCAGGUUCAGCGAGAUGGCUCUUUGAACCAUGAGUAGGUAGCACAACGCAUGCAUUGCCGGCUGAUAGUAGUUGUGCUGCGGCUCUACUACUGUACCAUGUGUUCCUACUACUAGCUCUAGUCGUGGAUGCUGGGUAGCUCCCUGUUUUCUCUGUUUUUAUGUAAUCCUAGAUAGAACCAUACAACUGUGGAUGACAAACACUGCAAUUUAAUCUAAAAUUGUCAUCAUUAUCCUAGCAAAUACUCCUCAAAUUACUGUAAAUUGUUGCACGAUUAGGGGCUAGUGUAGAUGCAAAAUAAGGUUGCACUUUUAGAGGAGAUAAGCCACUGAUGUUGGAUGCUUGGUAGUUGUCUUGUGUUGUGUGCAUGUCGGUACUAGUAGUAUGUCCGUGAGCAACAAGCAUACGAUUUGUGCCUAUGCUCUACUGUAUUGGCCUCAUGGGUCAUUGCUGAUUGACCAUGACUAUAGCUUAUUCCUUCAGUGUACUAUCGCUUUCUCAAGUCAACUCAAGCAACAAUUCAUGUGGCUCGCUCAAUCGGGUGGGUGGCAUAUUUAUUCAGUAUAUUCUCUGAAAUUGCAAGUUCUGAAGUGUAUAAUUUUUUUGUGCAGUCAGAGAGCUGAACGGGGCGAGGCUGGAGGCGUCGGUGAGGGCGUACGGCGGCACCGGCUAGAGCAAGGUGUCCAACAAAUGGGUUAAGUCGAAUUAGCAUUUUGUACUAGCCAUCCCUGUUUCCUGCUUUUAUAUGUACACAAACUCGAACCUAAGUUAGGCCUUUGCAUUGUCAUGGUGGUCUCUGUGUGUGAUUCCGCAUGGUAAUACUGAUGCAUAAAACUUGGUUUGGUAUGGAAUUGGCAACCUGUUUAAGUUGUUAGUUUACUUGUGGAUUUUGACAUAGUGAUCCCUUAAUCCUUGUAGAGCAUUUUUGUUUGUUCUGAACCUGACUGUUAUGUCAGUUUUCAUGUGACAACCUUGCUGUGCUAGUUUAUUUUAUUGCAAAGCUUGCCGUGCUAGGUGCAGAGCAUAAGGUGCCCUGCUUGGAUCGUGCUGAAUCUAGUUAGGCAGAGGAAUCCUUGCUAAUUCUGGCAAGUUUUUUGCUUUCACAUCCGAGUUAAAGAAAACUGGAAUUGAUCUUACAAGUGGAUCAAAACGUGAGACUGCCUGAUUCCAUUUUAAGGUUGUCACUAACCUGGUAGUUUUAUUUGGUGAUGCAGUUUGUAAGUUAAAAUGAUGCCCAGGGUUCAGGACAUGUGUGAUUUCUCUUGACAUAGGUGUUCCUCCCAUGCUAUGUCUCUCUAUUGAAUAGAUAGGUUCAGUUUUCCUUUGUUCUAUUUCUAGUUUAAGCAUAAGCAGGUUCUGGUAAGUGUCUAUGCAUGUGGCUCAUGAGUUGGAAUAUCUAAUCUAAUUAGGGACUGCAGACCUGCUGUGUCAUGUGCAAAUUUGCUUGCAUUCAGUUCAGAAAUUUAUGAAUUCUUUGAUGUUUUCCAUCUCCACCUUCAGUUCAGUUCUGUUCUACUGGGUGUGAAAAUCACUCUGUACCUGCAUUUUCGCCUGACUUUUUAAUACAUGAUGCAUUCGACUACUAGGACUUGAGCACCCAUCAACAUGUUAGUUCGACGAAUGUGGGCGUCCGAUAAUCUGAUCGAAACCCCGGUCGAUAAUUAGUUAAGCAUCUUGUGAUUAAAAUGUCUGCUCGUCAUUAGCAGCAUAUAUGCAUCCAGCUUUGUUUCAAGCUAAUAUGUUCUAUGAUGUGCUAUUAGACUGAUCGAUACUGCUUUGCACCUGCAUUUUCGCCUCGCUGUUCAGUACAUGGUGUAUCUAAUUGAGCACCCAUCAACAUGUCGAUUCGACAAAUAUGGACGUCCGAUAAUCUGUUUGAAAUCAUGGUGUAACCAUCAUGUAGUACUCUAGCCACUGGGAUCAUAAAGCAUCUCACGGAUAUAGUGGCUGGUCCUUAUUAACUUGUGCUAUGCAGCCAGCUUUCUCUCAAGCAUAUAAUUGUGUUCAGCUAAUUUUAUGCACGAUACGCAACUCCAUUCAUCCAUGCCUUUUCCUUAUAUCCAGUGCCUGCAUUGGCAUGGCAUAUUUAUUUGCUGAUGGUUUUGCAGGAUUUCCCCAAGAACAUAGACCACCUUGCCGCAUUCUGGGACAAACUCAUGGUGGACCAGGCCCAAGUGAUAUUGUCCUUGGAGGGCGUGGCUAUAGAGGAGACCAGCGCUUUAUUCAUUUUGACAUCAUUGUCGUCAUGGAUGUAGCCAGGGUACGCUUCAUUGCCGCUGCCAUAUGCCAGAGCCGGCAAUGAACUCCUGGAUGACAGUGGAAGCCAUGUUGUUGUUUUGUUUGUUCCCAGCCCUGACUAUGGUCUUUGAGCGAGUCCGGCAUGUUGUUCAUCUGACUAUGUUCAUCCAGCGAGUCCAGUAUGUUCAUGACAGGAGCAGGUAGUUUGUGAUCACAUGGAAGGAGCUUGUAAAGUAGUACUGUAUUACAUGUAGAGCUUGCUACACUUGUAGAGCUUGUAAAGCAGUAUGGUCCUCUGUAUUGGAACGGAUAGAGCUUGUAUUAUGUGAUCUGGUUGCUCUUAUUUAAGUA